ACGUGCUGCAUCAGGUGCUUGUGACUGUGUUGAAAAAAAGUCAGGUACCUGAAGUAGCGCGCGG
rnacentral:pre_miRNA from 1 species